GUCAUUGAUCACACUAGUGGAAAAAUAGGAUACUAUGACGAACCUAUUAUGACGGAUGAAAAUUAUUCGUCAUAAUAGAUUGACCAGUAGCAGAAUUGUAAUAAAAGUUACACUUGUAAAUAAGUUAAAACAUAUUAUGACGUAGUUUUGAACACCAGUUAUAAUAUAAAAUGUAGUGAUAAAUUUUUAAAUAAGUUAAAAACAUAUUAUUAGGUAGAUAUUGAAACCAAUCAUGAUAUGUCUCGAUUUUUUACAUUUCCCAUAUCUCUAAUUUCACCUUCCUCUCACCAUGUCCCUCUUCCUCUCUAAACCGCGCAUUCCUCUCAAAAAUUAAUCACUCAAUUUCGAAGAAAUUCAUCCUUUUUCCUUUUUAUCGGAUAAAAGAAAUCCCACUAACCCUUCCUUCUUUCUUCUUCUCCUUCUCCGAUAGAAGAAACCCUCACUUGGCCUCACUUGGUCGUGUCCCCCCAUCUCACACGGUUCCUUCUUCUUUCUUCGUAACAAAGAAGCCAUUGACGAUUUGUUUGAAACCCUAGCCGAGGGCCACUGCAUAUUCCAGGUGCUUCCUCUACCAUUUUCAUUUUUCCUAUGGUCUAUAAUAAUGCCUCUUAUGUUUCUUUAGGGCAUUGAUUGAGGCAUCUGGACGCUAGAAAUGGCGACAUAGACGGAGAUGCCAGUACGGUCCUCCACAAAGGUGCAGAAGGGGGCGGCGUUGGUCUGGGUGCAGAGUCGCCAUGAAUCAGAGAGAAGCAGCGUGGAAGAGAUGAACACGACGAGCAUCUGGCGAGACUAACCUAUCACAUGGUAAAUCAUGAGUCAAUUGCUUUGACUUUUCUCGGAAAUUUUUUUUAGGUUUUGAUUAUUUUUUUUAAUUUUUCUUUUGGAAAAGUUAAGAAAGAGUGAGUAAUUACAGUGAAGCUUCGUUGGAAGUCAUGACCAUGGAAUAAUGGUUUAUUUUUCGAAGUUUCCUAGGUUGGAGUCUUGCGGAGACUGGAAUUUGGAGAAGUUUGAUCAAAGAACACCUUGAAUUGUUACCUUUUACAUUCUCUUGAAUAUUGCAGUUAUAACUUCUUCUACUACACCAACUCUUUAUUGGCAUCUUCCUAGUUUCAACUCUCUGAUUCCAAAAACUUCACAUCCCUGACUUCUACUUUGUUGCUUUGUCAUAGGUAGAUUCUAUAGGCCUUGGAAGUUGAGCUAAAGCCUUCAAAAAUUUCAGGUUCUGCAUUCUUAUCCAAUUUGCCCCUCUUUAUUGGAG
rnacentral:lncRNA from 1 species